AGUGAACGCUGGCGGUAGGCCUAACACAUGCAAGUCGAACGGCAGCACAGUAAGAGCUUGCUCUUACGGGUGGCGAGUGGCGGACGGGUGAGGAAUACAUCGGAAUCUACUUUUUCGUGGGGGAUAACGUAGGGAAACUUACGCUAAUACCGCAUACGACCUACGGGUGAAAGCAGGGGAUCUUCGGACCUUGCGCGAUUGAAUGAGCCGAUGUCGGAUUAGCUAGUUGGCGGGGUAAAGGCCCACCAUGGCGACGAUCCGUAGCUGGUCUGAGAGGAUGAUCAGCCACACUGGAACUGAGACACGGUCCAGACUCCUACGGGAGGCAGCAGUGGGGAAUAUUGGACAAUGGGCGAAAGCCUGAUCCAGCCAUACCGCGUGGGUGAAGAAGGCCUUCGGGUUGUAAAGCCCUUUUGUUGGGAAAGAAAAGCAGUAGGUUAAUACCCCGCUGUUCUGACGGUACCCAAAGAAUAAGCACCGGCUAACUUCGUG
rnacentral:rRNA from 1 species